rnacentral:lncRNA from 1 species
AACCUCUGAAUUUCUGCUCAGCUCUGUUCUCCAGUUUCCUGGAGUCUAACUUGCCCUGUGUUCAUACAACUCAGGACCAAGGAUCUGAGAAGUUUCUAUAGAUUCACUAUUGGAUGCAUUUUUAAUGAGAUGUAUAUGCAAGAAGCAGAUACUGCUCUGAUGUGAGGAAAAAAGUUUUGUAAUAGUAUGUGUUUACUGUCUUGAAGAACUCCCUCCUCUGUGAUAUAUUUAAUGCUGAGUAUCUUUUAACAGGACCAUUCUCCAAAAUUUAAUUUUUUUCUUUUGCUUUUUUGGGUCUUUAAGUAAUAGAUUGAAGGAAAGUAAAUAAAAUACCUAAGAUUAUGCAUUUACAUUAUUUCUCAUAUUGAUGAGUUGUUUAAGUGGCCUGUGGGUCAACUUACAUGCAAUUAGAGCAAAUAGUGGAACUAUUGUCAUUUUUAUUAUCAUCUUUCCCUUCCUCAUUACUGUUAUUUAAAAUAAAGUCUCUAUUU